GUAGUAUUCCCUCCGUCCCAAAAUUCUUGUCUUACAUUUGUUUAGAUACGGAUGUAUCUAACACUAAAAUGUAACUAGAUACAUCCGUAUUUAGACAAAUUUAAGACAAGAACUUUGGGACAGAGGGAGUACAAA
rnacentral:pre_miRNA from 1 species